rnacentral:lncRNA from 1 species
AACGGGUUCAGAAACACAGACAUAUAUGUGAAAAGAUCAAAAUUAAUUGAUAUCCAUCAAGAAUCCAACCCAAACAGGAGGCUUAUUACAACAAGUCAAACAACGUAUUGGAAGGGAAGGGGGAAAAGAAUGUUUUAGAUCGUUUUCUUGCACCUCUCUUGGCCUACCUGUUGCUUAGCCGAAUUCUUGUACCUCUCUUCAUUUUCUUAAUGAAGCAGAUGGAGAGAGUCUCCUCCCUUUCUUAAAAAGUAAAUAACUCCAAUUGCUUUACUUAAGAAACAGCGACAACAUGAAAUCCCAGUCAAUGCUUGCACGAACAAACAGAAGAAGUAAGCUGCAAAGCACUCUGAUCUAGUCCUCAAACAAAGCACAAUCAAAAUUUCUUGAAAGAUAUCAACAAUCUGGAUCCAAUCAGAACAAACGUGGACCAAAAAAACACAGCAAUAGAAAAGUGGGCGAUUAUUAUUAUUUUUUUUUCAGUAAUCAACUCUGCUCCAUCUAAUUAAGAAGAAAUGACAAAAUAAAAACAACAUUUAUUUAACUCUAUCAAGAAUCUCAACCAAGAAAACAUAAAAAUGAACAGCAGUUAAUCUGCGAUGCAAACCCAUGAGCAAACUUUUGCGGUAAAGUGGAUGGAAAAGACAACUGACAGAGUAGGGAGAUAAGUACAGAACUGUUCCCAUCUUCCAUUGCCCGCAGGAACCCAACCACAACUGUAUGUCAAAAGAAAUGGGGGAUUGUGGGGAGGAUGAAAACCCUAGGAGUAGGUCUCUGAUGGCCUCAGUUGGUGCGGCAGAUCGAAAUGCGAAGAAGUGAGGCUGGAAAGAGACGACGAGAAGAUGGGAGAAGAUUGCUGGAGGAGCCAUACAAGUAGGGGAAGAGGGGGGAGAGGAAGAGGGGUGAAAGCCUCUGUUUUGGUCUUCCGACCGUUAUCCAUGUCC